rnacentral:rRNA from 1 species
AACGGUAGCUAAUACCGCAUAACGUCGCAAGACCAAAGAGGGGGACCUUCGGGCCUCUUGCCAUCGGAUGUGCCCAGAUGGGAUUAGCUAGUAGGUGGGGUAAAGGCUCACCUAGGCGACGAUCCCUAGCUGGUCUGAGAGGAUGACCAGCCACACUGGAACUGAGACACGGUCCAGACUCCUACGGGAGGCAGCAGUGGGGAAUAUUGCACAAUGGGCGCAAGCCUGAUGCAGCCAUGCCGCGUGUAUGAAGAAGGCCUUCGGGUUGUA